rnacentral:tRNA from 4 species
GUCCCCAUCGUCUAGUGGUUAGGACACCGGCCUUUCAAGCCGGCGACACGGGUUCGAGUCCCGUUGGGGAUGCCA